GUCUCCUGUGGUGCAAUGGGUCCAUGUGUUUGGCUGUUAACCAGAAGGCUGGUGGUUCAAGCCCAUGCAGGGACA